rnacentral:rRNA from 1 species
AUGAGAAAAAAAUCAAUGGUGGAUUCAGAUGCAAAGAUGACAUCACAUGGGCGGCUUAAGCCGCCCUCGGAUCAAGUGUUGGAUUAUGCAUCAGUACCUCCUCAUGAUCCAAACAGAUUUUGCAGACUUGAAGGCAAGAAUAAGCGAAUGCCAAAUAGUCAACAACUGAAAAGGAGUUGCUCAGUGGUGGCAAUAUUUAAUUGGUUCGAUUCUGCCAGCGAUGUCGUCAAUGCUUUCAGAAGAGGGAGCUUGUUAUCCUCAUCGCAACUCUCCAAAAGAAACAAACAAAAUCAAAACACAGAAAUGAAAAGAGACAGAUCAGGUGAAAAUAACAAUGAACCGCAUAUUAAAAAUAAGAAAACAAAUUAA